GCCCCCGUAGCCCAAUGGCAGAGGCCAUCGCCUUAAAAGUGAUGUCAGUGUCGGUUCGAGUCCGACCGGGGGCA
rnacentral:tRNA from 1 species